GAAGCAACGAAAAAGCAGAUCAUUCUCUCCUAUAAAGAAAAGGAGAAGGGACUCACCCAGUCAUCUGGAAGCUCGACGCAUCACAAGUGCCAGGAAGCGACCCAUUCCUUACUUCCGACCUAGUCCCUGCACUAGCAGUCGGUCCACCAGUGUAUCAUCCUGGAGCAGCCUCUUCACGCGCAGCAGGAGUCGCAGAACAAUCUACAGCACAAGCCGAAGCAGGAGCAGGAGCAGGAGCAGGAGCAGGAGCAGGAGCCCCGGUUACUCCUCCUACAGGAGUUACAGUCGCAGUUCAUCGUUCUACUCCAUUUUUGGGCCCCGCAGUCAAAGCUGUGGCUUAGUGAAGAAACGCAAGAAAAUGAGAUCAUAAGACCUCCCUGUUUUUAUUGGCAGCUGAUGACAAACUGUGACGAUGUGAGGAAAUAUUUGGUGGACUCUGGAGAGUAUCUUCUUAGACCAGUAGGGCAAGCACAUAAAAACACAAAACACAAAACAUGCAUCUCCCUCCACAGCCCUGCAGGGGGCACUGUGAAUGUGAUUAAAAUACUACCGGUACUUGUUUUUUCUCUGUGCUGAAAUAAUAUGUUACAGAAUUUAAUUCAAAUACGAAGCUUUCAAGAGCAGCUGUACACCCCCGACUGUGAUCCCACAUAAUUUAACUUACCCUACGACAAUGAAAGGCAACUGUCAUAAGUGUUGCAUUGCUGCCAUCUUCAGUUUCUAUUGUUCACUUGGACACAUUUAAAGUCAUACAAUUGCUUGAACUAGAAAAUACAGGUAAAAUAAUUUAAAUAAUGUUGAUGUUAAUGUUGUCACAGGGAUUGUGCAUUAUCUCCUUUCCAACAGACAUUUAACUCAUCUUUACGCUUCAUUAGCCAUAUUUUACGGGUUUGAUGAUGAAGCUCAAAUAGACUUGGAAUCUCAGCUGACAUUUAAACUCAUCUCUGGAAGGAUAGACAUUUCGAUCAUAGACGAUCAUACGAUGUGUGGUAUUUAUUUAAUAUUUAUUGAUGUUUUUCAUUAGUGCCAUGUUUUCUAUACAACACUGUUGAAAUAUUGUUGAAAUGUAUUGUGACUUGGUUGUAGUGUGUGUUUUUCUUGAUAAUGGUUAGAUAAGGAAAUCAGUACCACAAGAAAGCCUCCUGACAUAUGAUUGAUAAUAAUAAUAAUAACUAAUUAUAUUACUACUUGACAAAUGUUUGAAGGUCAGUAAAGAGUCAAAACAAUCUCAGGCGUUUUUAUUAAGUCGUUAACAAUGAAAACAACAAAGUCAUUUCUCCACAAUUCCUCUCAUGACGUCCAAACAGUAUUUUUAUUCACAGGAUGAAUAGAGCACUGAAAAAUAAACACGUUCAGUAAUGUUACAUUAUGUUAAUCCAGGGUUUCUAAAACUAGUGCCCCCUAUUGUACAUAGGUCUGUUAUCAACUUCCCUUGACACAGAUUACAGCUAUUGCUUCAAAUCUCCAUUUUAUUUUAUUUUAAGCACAGUAAUUUAAAAGUGGAGAUUAAUUUGACUCACCCCCAUUCCAAUUGCUCCACACCCUCUGCUUUGGAAACCAAUAUGUUCAUCUUGAAUUGCUCAGCAGGAUGUGUUUUUUUUUUUAAUAAACUUUUUUUUUCAUUACUUG